CAAAUUAUACAUCACACUUUUUGAGAUCCAGGCUUUGCUUUUUGUCUCUAUAUACUUAAUGCUUCUAUAGUGUCUGGCACCUAGUAGGCAUACAAUAGAGUGGAUUUAUUUAAUAAAAACUGUGUAGCACUAGUUGGAUGAAAAGUUAGACAAGUCUAUUCCGAAUGGCCUGCUUUCUUGGAAUAUCUUUGAAUGGGGCCUAAUAUCUUUUAAAUUUGUUUCUUUGGGCAUGGCAAAUAAAAAGCCAGAAGCCUGCUCUUUUGUAAAGUGUCCUUUUUAUCUUCAAAGUUCAGCUCACACAGCUGCAGUCGGCACUGUUUUAUAAGCAGAAGCCUACCUUAUUUCAGCUCCUCCUGGCUCCCCAGGAGCCUUCUGUGACUUCCUUCUUGGCUCUGUAAUUACAGAACCAGGAAGCAUGACUUUGAACUUCAGAACUUGCUCUUCAGUGAUCUCCUGGGACAUCCUCAGGUAUUUGUGUGGUGUGAUGAAAUUUAUUGAUGGAAUCCCUAACUAUCUUCAUAGACGAGAGUCAAUUUAAUAGCUUCACAAGCACUCUCCAAAUGCAAAGAACAGUUUAUGGUCACUCCGAAUGAACAGCCCUAUUACUUCUGACUGGAGAUACGCAGAGGAAGUUGGCAAGCAUCUCUGCCCCUGUGCUUUGCCUCUCAAAGUCAUCAACUCAAAGUCAUCUGAGCCUUGGACUGAACUUCAACAAGACAGCUCUGACUUUGAUGUAUAAGACGGGAUGCAUUUUUAUUUAUUUAUUUGUGCACUGAACUCAUCCAAUGAGUACCUAGCAUACUCCAGGUACUCUCAUGGGUGCCAAAAAAUAGCAAAAAUAAGAAUAAUGCCUGACAUGUCACAUUUUCAGAUGGUUCCCACAUGAUUGGACUUGUUUGAUCAGUCCCACAAGCAGUGAAUGGGAGGCAGGAGCUCCUGAGAAGAUAGUGAGCUCAGCAGGAAAUAACUAACUUUAGGGACCAAGAGAGAGAUGGAUGCAAGUUAAAAUCAGAGCUAGAGUGAUGUCCUGGAAUUCACUAGAGGGCCUGAGUCAUCACCAGGGCAAGGCAUGAAGAGGUGGGGGAGACAUGGAAGUGGCAGGUGAAAGUCAAUGAAGAGAGUUUACCAAUCUGACUAUAUCCCAAAGACCAUGGUGUCUG
rnacentral:lncRNA from 1 species